GCAAGAAUGCCCACUAGAUUGUGCUUGUGACCACCCGGACUGGAGAUCCCAAACUAGCUCCUUGACCGCUCUCGAAGAAGUGGAGAUCAAUGGCUUUCAAGGACACGAUCAUGAGAUCGAUUUCUUGAAACUGAUAUUCAAAUGUGCACCGAUGCUUAGAAGAAUGAUUGUGCGUUUCUCACAUGAGGUCUUAUUUCGUGAUCAUCAUGGAUGCACACAAAUACGAAACAUCUUCAGGGAAUAUUCUUCUGUGGAAUGCUAUCUUUAUCUUAGCUCUGCCUCCGCUGCAGGUUUAGAGCAUGGCAGCGACGGGUUCCCAUCAACAUGAUUCUAAGCCUUGCAUAUUUGGAUUCAUGAUGAGUGGAUGCACGCCUCUUUUAGUGCAAGUUUGAUCACUGAUGGCUGCAAAAGAUGCCAAGAAUCAUACUGGCAACUUUGGUUUCCUUGUUUGUCUAAUGCCAUCAUCUUAACAAGUUAUAAUAUUGUGAUGUUUGUAUGAAGUACUAAUGACUGCUGGACUGAUGUUAUUCUGCACUGUCAAACUCCUAGUUUUAAUGCUUCUCGUGCUAUAAGUAUUUGUUCGUGUUCGAAUGAUGAUAUAGAUUGUAGAGUGUAUCUACUAUUUGAUGCUUGGGAUCGGCUAUCUUUUUUGCCCCUGUU